rnacentral:rRNA from 1 species
CCGGUAAACGGCGGCCGUAACUAUAACGGUCCUAAGGUAGCGAAAUUCCUUGUCGGGUAAGUUCCGACCUGCACGAAUGGCGUAAUGAUGGCCAGGCUGUCUCCACCCGAGACUCAGUGAAAUUGAACUCGCUGUGAAGAUGCAGUGUACCCGCGGCAAGACGGAAAGACCCCGUGAACCUUUACUAUAGCUUGACACUGAACAUUGAGCCUUGAUGUGUAGGAUAGGUGGGAGGCUUAGAAGUGUGGACGCCAGUCUGCAUGGAGCCGACCUUGAAAUACCACCCUUUAAUGUUUGAUGUUCUAACGUGGACCCGUAAUCCGGGUUGCGGACAGUGUCUGGUGGGUAGUUUGACUGGGGCGGUCUCCUCCUAAAGAGUAACGGAGGAGCACGAAGGUUGGCUAAUCCUGGUCGGACAUCAGGAGGUUAGUGCAAUGGCAUAAGCCAGCUUGACUGCGAGCGUGACGGCGCGAGCAGGUGCGAAAGCAGGUCAUAGUGAUCCGGUGGUUCUGAAUGGAAGGGCCAUCGCUCAACGGAUAAAAGGUACUCCGGGGAUAACAGGCUGAUACCGCCCAAGAGUUCAUAUCGACGGCGGUGUUUGGCACCUCGAUGUCGGCUCAUCACAUCCUGGGGCUGAAGUAGGUCCCAAGGGUAUGGCUGUUCGCCAUUUAAAGUGGUACGCGAGCUGGGUUUAGAACGUCGUGAGACAGUUCGGUCCCUAUCUGCCGUGGGCGCUGGAGAACUGAGGGGGGCUGCUCCUAGUACGAGAGGACCGGAGUGGACGCAUCACUGGUGUUCGGGUUGUCAUGCCAAUGGCACUGCCCGGUAGCUAAAUGCGGAAGAGAUAAGUGCUGAAAGCAUCUAAGCACGAAACUUGCC